UAAAAGGUGUUAUUAAACACCACCCUAAAGUACCUCUAUGUGCCA
rfam:Phoenicopterus ruber ruber contig105703, whole genome shotgun sequence.